CCGCCCCGCCGAGCCCGGCGGCGCUGCGGGGGAAGCACCGCCCUGUACGAGGCCGAGUCGUGGGCUGAGCCUGGCGCUGAGCUGGGCCUAACCUGGGACAGAGCCUGAGGCUGCAGCGCCUGGGUGUUGCGGCGGCCGCAGGGCUUGGCCGGCGCCGUGUUCUCGCGGGGGAAUCGCCAGCCGCUCCCUCGGGGUUAAAGGGCAAACAGCCAUUUUGUCUGCUGGACGGGGAUGUCGUAGGGGAGCGGUCGGGCUGAUUUUUUGGCAUUGCUUCGUAGCAGAAGGAGAAUGCUAAGUGAAAUUAGCUGUACAAAAUUGGUGUUUUAAAGCUAUUGAGCAAGAAACAAAAUUAACAUCAACAGCAGGUGGCAGUGCUGGCAAGAGCAGUGGUUCUGAUGUGAGUUGUCGGCUGGUGGUUUGUGUAGUUUCAGCUCUUCCGCAAAAGCAGUAGAGAGUGCCAGGAUCCUGUGUGCAGAGAGAACAAGACCAGCUCCCACUGAUGACUGACCCCUGGAACACCCCUCAAGCAUUGUUGUGAGGUUCAAGUAGAAGCCUGCUGUAUGUUGAUGAAGUUCACCCACUGUGCUUCUUAGAAGAGAAAAUUAGUGAAAUUGGUAAAAAAAAAUCAAAGAAGAAAACCUGUAAAGUUCCCAUGCUGUGACUGUGACACUCACUCUUUACACCUCACCUCCUAAUUCUCAGACAUAGAGAUUGACUGGAACACAUUCCCAGCACCGCUCUACGAUAUGUCUCUGGCUUUCGACUCUCUCUGAAGAGAAUGGUACCAGGUUACUGCACUGGCAGCCAGAGUUGCUGAUUCUUGUCUCUUUAAUGGCUUUGAUGGAAACAAGUCUCUUUACUGCUGUUACUGUGUGUAACAUACCUCAGAACACAGGAUUAGGAGAAACUGGUGAUUUUACAGUUCCAGUCCUCUUUGAUAAAGUGUCCGAGAUGAAAUGAAUACACUUCUGAGACUGUUGCCUGGAGGCCAGGGAAACUGCUACAACAAAGCGAAGACAGAAGUAACAGACAUACUAACAUGUGCAGAACUGAGAACAUGGAGUAGAAUGUGCCCAGACAGAAUUAUUCUGAGAGAGACACUGCAAUGUAUAUAAAAUUUUGCACUCAUGCGUCUAAACUAGUACAGUAACUAAUUUUGAAAUGCUAUUGACAGCCCAGGUGGAAUAGGGAGUGAAUAUUGAGGCUGUAGCUGUAUAGGCUAUGAAAAGACUGGUGUGAAGAGGAAGAUCAUUAACCAGGGGAUUAAGAAAGCGGUCCAGGUAAACAGUAAGAUAUAGAUGGUCUAAUGAUUAACAUAAGAUUCCUGUAUGGGAAUAUCUGUGGAAAAGGAAGGGCUACUUCAGUGUUCCCUUACAGAAAGUGGACUGGUGGACCUGAAGAUGGUGGAGCAAAAGCUGAGAAAUUACUCAGAGGUGCAAGAUGAAGUGUGAAGUUCUGUGAACCUUGAGACUGCUUUGAACUGUUACCAGUAGUUUCUGAAAUUUACAGACAGGGACAUAUUGUAGGGAUUGUUUUUGCAACUCCUUGCGUUUUUCAUGAUGUCAUUGUGAAUGAUUCUGGGACAUUUCAAGUUGGUUUGUGUUAAAAAAAAGAAGGAGAAAAUACUACAGUGGAAGACUACAGUUACUGAAAAAACAUGAGUUACUGAGGUUUUUAACACAUGAUUGCGAAGUAUGUAAGUAGAAGAAUAAUCAGUUUGGUUCUCACACUUAACUUGCAACUGGUAGAUUUUUCUCUGGAGAUAUUUUUCCACAUAUCAUAAGACAUAUUUUUCUAAAUGUUUGCCUUUCUUUCUAUACCAUUUAUGUCUGCAAACAAUUAGGAGCAAAGCAUGGUACUAGAUACCUGCACUAACUCAGUAUAGUCCAAGAUAACACUGUAGGUCCCCAUCUUUAUGAGUGUAAAUAAGUUAAGAAGUUUAUGCAGUUUAAAGGAAAUAACAGAUAGAACUGUGGAUAAGAAAGGAGAAAGAAAAAAUACAGACUCUAGGUUUGUGGUGUAAAGGUUAAAUGAGAGGAAGACCUGAGAAUGAUAGUAGAAUUUCAUCAAAUACCAGGAAAAAUUCUAGGUGGCUUUGGUAGCUAUAUAAAUCACAACAUUGGAAUUUUGUAUGUAAUUCUGAAUGUGAAAGGGUUAAAAAAGUAAAAAGAGUAAACACAUGACAUAGGAGUGACAUUCUUACAUCACACUUCAGCCUAAGAACUGAAAAAAACAAAAACAAACCCUGUACAUAAGAGAACGGGUUUUUUCCUGUCUUACAUACUCUAGACAUGAUUUCUUUUGAGUUUUCUUUCAUUUGGGAAGCAUUGUACUAAUGGUCAGCUGGAAAAGGCAGAGCAAAAACCUUGAACUGAUAUGACACUUAUCUGUAAAUUUGCGGUCAGCUGGGUAAAUAAGGAUUAGGUCCUAUUUUGAAAAUAUGUAUUUACUCUGUAAAAUGUAAUGGUUUGAGGGGGGAAAAAGUCUCACUAUGCUCUAUAAGCUAUAUAUGCAUUUUGGGCACUUUUAGAAGUGAGUGAAAUGGCUCUUUUUUUACUAAUAAAAAGGUCUCAAAUCGAAUGAGUGCAUACAAAACAUUAUUUUCUGUCACUUAGAAUAAGACCUUUAGUAUUUUAAUUUACCAUUGAUUUAUCCACAGUCACUAAUCUGAAAAGUCCAGCUGUUAUUUACAGUUUUAGAGCUAUGUCACUAUUCACUUUGAACUUUUUGGUAACCUCUGUGUUGCUAUAUGAAUCUAUAAAGUUAAUUAACAUAUAGGCACUAAGAUUUUCAGUUUGUUUUGUUCAAGAAUAUCACUAAGCCAUGCUUUAAUUAGAUUAGUUUUAGAUGCAGAGUUGGUAGGGAUUCAGGUACCAUUCAUGGGAAUAGGGUCAAAAUCCUUCCCUCAAAUAAACAGAUUUUGCAACUUUGUUGACUUUAGUGUUAUAUAAUCAGUGUGGAAACAGAUUAUGCUGGUUCAUUUGGAGUUUUUUCAGGAGGAAUAUAAUAAACAAGAAGUUAUUAAGGAGUACUGACUUUUCAUAAUUUAAACCUUGGAAUUGUGUUUCUAAGAAUGCAAAUUAUAAACUCGCCAUUAAAUUUAUCUGAGACAACUUUUUAUAACCAUUGGAGAUAGGAUUGACAAGGCUUCAGAUUCUGAGGAAUAUAGGUAAAGCAAACCUCUAGUCAGCUUUCUGGUGAAACCUGAGCACUUUAUGAAUUACAUAUCAUGCAGUUGUUUGGAAUUUUAAAGCAUUGAUUUUCAUGGCUUGGGUUUUCUUCUACUUCUAAGCAAGUAAAUUUGCACUGCAGGGACAAACUGUAGACCAUUAUUCUAAUUUGCAGAGAUGAUCAAUUACCUAGUCCUUCCAUGUGCACCUUUGACUUCUCUUUCAAAUAAAAUGAAAAAAGAUAUAUUUGCAUCUUCAAUUUUUUAAAAAUCCAUUUCUACAUGGGGAGAAAAAAUAUAAAUGUUAUCUCUCAAAUCAGAAUACAUCAUUAGAUCAGAAUAAGACUUGCAAACUCAGAACUUCUACCAGCAGAAAUCAAUGUACAAAAACCUUGAACAAGAGAAAUCCUAGGGAUACUAAGAAGUUUGCUGGUGAUACUAAAUUGGGAGGAGCUGUUGACAUCCUGGAGGGCAUAGAGGCCCUGAAGAGAGACCUUAACAAAUCAGAGAGAUAGCAGAUCAUCAACCAUAUGAAGUUCAAUGAAGACAAGUUCCAAAUUCUGCACUUUGGAUGGUGCAACCCUGGAUGUAUGGACAGACUGGGGAAUGAGAUACUGGGAAACAGUGCUGUGGAA